rnacentral:lncRNA from 1 species
UAGAGGAUCUCUGCUGUAACGUGACAUUUUCUAAGGCUCCCAUAGGCUCUUAGAAGGAGCCAGAACGGGGAAUGAUGACUCUGCAGUCCCUGGGCGAAAAACAGUAGGGCUUUUGGAAAGUGGUCGUUCUGAGAACAAUGACACGGGUGCGCGUGUGCAUGUGAAGACUCCAUUUUCUAUUUUCAGUGUUUGAACGAAAACAAGGUCUCCCGGUCGGAAUAUUAUCGCUAUUUUAUGAGAAAAAUCGCAUACAAAUUUAUUUUAAACAGCGUUUGACAUGCUUCGAAGUACGGUAAGGGAAUAUUUUGAAAUUUUAUGCCACGAUAGGCGCCGACGCGUCACCCUUCGGAUAGUGUCUUGAACGCAAGAACAAAACGCAGCUAUUUGGAUAUAACUAUGGAUUACUUGGAACCAAAACAACAUUGGGUGUUGAAGUAGAAGUCCUGGGAGUGCAUUCUGACGAAGAACAGCAAAGAACCACCCACCACAAGAAGACCAAGCAGCGUGGUAUGGAGGAACAGAGGGUUAUGGACUCCUGGACUUGGGAGAUGAUUUUGGACGGAAAGGGACCCUGGACAACGCCUGGGGAGUAUCGCCGCCCGCAGUGGGAGAUCGAGGCAGCGAAGGCGGAACGGCGAUACUGGGAGGAACAGGGUCUUGCAGCACCGGUCUAGGUCUGCACCCUGGCUGUCUGCCUGUUCUCCAGAGCUGGCCUGCCUACAUCACCUACGUGUCUGACAUAGUCCGAGACCUGCAGGAGAGUGAGAAGAGGAGGGGAGAGAACUCUACCUGUGUCACUCAGACCGCAUGGGCGUCACCCCACCGCCAACAAGUCACAGGAGUGGCAGAUCAAGGCACCCUGACAACCCAUAGGUUGUUUCCAUGGCAACUAGACCAACAGACAGGGGGCAUUGGUCUCCCAUCCUCACUCCUCCUCUGCCCUGCCCCAGACACACAGCCAAGGAUUGGAGGAGAGAAAAGGGCUGUGCGGCUUUUCGAGAAAACACCCAGAAGAUAUGCGAACAUCUGUUUCUUCAAUGUCCAAUCAGAGUGGCCCAGGCAGCAACAUUUCUCUAUGACCUCACCCAUGGGACAUGCAGAGAACACCAUAUAUGGAGAAUGGUUCG